rnacentral:rRNA from 1 species
GAUGAACGCUAGCUACAGGCUUAACACAUGCAAGUCGAGGGGCAGCAUGGUCUUAGCUUGCUAAGGCCGAUGGCGACCGGCGCACGGGUGAGUAACACGUAUCCAACCUGACGUCUCUAGAAGACAUCUGAAAGAGAUUAAAGAUUUAUCGGUGAUGGAUGGGGAUGCGUCUGAUUAGCUUGUUGGCGGGGUAACGGCCCACCAAGGCGACGAUCAGUAGGGGUUCUGAGAGGAAGGUCCCCCACAUUGGAACUGAGACACGGUCCAAACUCCUACGGGAGGCAGCAGUGAGGAAUAUUGGUCAAUGGGCGAGAGCCUGAACCAGCCAAGUAGCGUGAAGGAUGAAGGUCCUACGGAUUGUAAACUUCUUUUAUACGGGAAUAAAGUUUCCUACGUGUAGGAUUUUGUAUGUACCGUAUGAAUAAGCAUCGGCUAACUCCGUG